rnacentral:rRNA from 1 species
GAUCAGAGGGGGGCGUACGUACUGUGGUGUGAGAGGUGAAAUUCUUGGAUCGCCACAGGACGAACAGCAGCGAAGGCGUUCGCCAAGAAUGUUUUCAUUAAUCAAGAACGAAAGUUUGAGGUUCGAAGACGAUUAGAUCCCGUCCUAGUUCAAACCAUAAACGUUGCCAACUGUCUUUUAGAUGCGGUUAUUUAUAUGACUCAUCUGGCGGAUCUCAAGAAAUCUAAGUUUUUAGGUUCCGGGGGAAGUAUGGUUGCAAAGCUGAAACUUAAAAGAAUUGACGGAAGGACACACAAGAAGUGGAGCCUGUGGCCUAAUUUGACUCAACACGGGAAACCUUACUCGGCCAGGACACUUUUAGGAUUGACAGAUUGAGAGCUCUUUCUUGAUUAGGUGGGUGGUGGUGCAUGGUCGUUCGUAGUUCGUGGAGCGAUUUGUCUGAUUAAUUACGAUAACGAACGAGACUUCGGCUUACUAAAUAGUCUAAAGUUCGAAGGGACUUUUCAAGACUUCUUAGCAGGAUAAGUGGCACUUCUUAAGCCACACGAAAUGGAGCAAUAACAGGUCUGUGAUGCCCUUAGAUGUCCGAGGCUGCACGCGCGCUACACUGGAGAGUUCAGAAUGUUUCUUCCUACUUCGACAGAAGUAGGUAACCAUGAAAUUCUCUUCGUGACUGGGAUCGGAGCUUGCAAUUAUUCUCCGUCAACGAGGAAUUCCUAGUAAGCACUAUUUCAUCAGAAUGUGCUGAUUAUGUCCCUGUCCUUUGUACACACCGCCCGUCGCUACUAC